rnacentral:rRNA from 1 species
CCUACGGUGGGCAGCAGUGAGGAAUAUUGGUCAAUGGCCGGAAGGCUGAACCAGCCAUGCCGCGUGAAGGUCAGUGCCCUAUGGGCGUUAAACUUCUUUUGUGCGGGAGCAAUAAUGGUCACGUGUGGCCAGACGAGAGUACCGUACGAAUAAGCAUCGGCUAACUCCGUGCCAGCAGCCGCGGUAAUACGGGGGAUGCAAGCGUUAUCCGGAGUUAUUGGGUUUAAAGGGUGCGUAGGCUGGGAGGUAAGUCAGCGGUGAAAUGCACCCGCUCAACGGGGUGAAGUGCCAUUGAUAAUGCCUUGAUGGAAGGCGGAUGCGGUGGGAGGAAAGUGUGGUGUAGCGGUGAAAUACAUAGAAAUCACACAGAACACCGAGUGCGAAGGCAUCUCACGAAUCCGCGAUUGACGCUGAUGCACGAAAGCGUGGGUAUCAAACAGGAUUAGAUACCCUUGUAGUC